rnacentral:rRNA from 1 species
ACAACCGGGGACUGCCUUAUGUACGGCGAGUGAAGCGGCAAAAGCUCAAAUUUGAAAUCUGGUACCUUCGGUGCCCGAGUUGUAAUUUGUAGAAGGUAACUUUGGGGCUGGUCCUUGUCUAUGUUCCUUGGAACAGGACGUCAUAGAGGGUGAGAAUCCCGUGUGGCGAGGAUCCCAGUCCUAUGUAAAGUGCUUUCGAAGAGUCGAGUUGUUUGGGAAUGCAGCUCUAAGUGGGUGGUAAAUUCCAUCUAAAGCUAAAUAUUGGCGAGAGACCGAUAGCGAACAAGUACAGUGAUGGAAAGAUGAAAAGAACUUUGAAAAGAGAGUGAAAAAGUACGUGAAAUUGUUGAAAGGGAAGGGCAUUUGAUCAGACAUGGUGUUUUGCGCCCUCUGCUCCUUGUGGGUGGGGGAAUCUCGCAGCUCACUGGGCCAGCAUCAGUUUUGGCGGUAGGAUAAAUCUGCAGGAAUGUAGCUUGCUUCGGCAAGUGUUAUAGCCUGUUGAAAUACUGCCAGCCGGGGACUGAGGACUGCGACUUUUAAGUCAAGGAUGCUGGCAUAAUGGUUAUAUGCCGCCCGUCUUG